rnacentral:lncRNA from 1 species
CAAUAUCAAAGAGGGAAGAUUUCUUGGGAUUUUCUAAGCCAAAAAACUCAUGUAGACUGCAAGUGGCUUCACUGCUCAUUCAUACCUAAAAAUAAACAAUCUUUGCUGAUAGGGGCAUCAUCUAUUUGCUAGGUCUUUUUGCCUGCAAUUCAGUGUUAAAAUGUCCAAGCACUUUGGAUCAAUCUUUUAAAUAGUCCCUAAGUUCCACUGCACACUAAGUUCUUUCAUGGUGUGUGGCACUUAGAUGACACUGGUUUAAAAAUAACUGUUUCAUGGUUUGAGGGUCCAUAAAGACUAAUCUUUUAAGAGUUGAUGACUAUCCUCUGUC